GAUGAACGCUGGCGGCGUGCCUAAUACAUGCAAGUCGAGCGAACGGACGAGAAGCUUGCUUCUCUGAUGUUAGCGGCGGACGGGUGAGUAACACGUGGAUAACCUACCUAUAAGACUGGGAUAACUUCGGGAAACCGGAGCUAAUACCGGAUAAUAUUUUGAACCGCAUGGUUCAAAAGUGAAAGACGGUCUUGCUGUCACUUAUAGAUGGAUCCGCGCUGCAUUAGCUAGUUGGUAAGGUAACGGCUUACCAAGGCAACGAUGCAUAGCCGACCUGAGAGGGUGUUCGGCCACACUGGAACUGAGACACGGUCCAGACUCCUACGGGAGGCAGCAGUAGGGAAUCUUCCGCAAUGGGCGAAAGCCUGACGGAGCAACGCCGCGUGAGUGAUGAAGGUCUUCGGAUCGUAAAACUCUGUUAUUAGGGAAGAACAUAUGUGUAAGUAACUGUGCACAUCUUGACGGUACCUAAUCAGAAAGCCACGGCUAACUACGU
rnacentral:rRNA from 1 species